rnacentral:rRNA from 1 species
UUUCAACAACGGAUCUCUUGGUUUCUUGGCAUCGAUGAAGAACGCAGCAAAAUGCGAUAAGUAAUGUGAAUUGCAGAAUUCAGUGAAUCAUCGAAUCUUUGAACGCACAUUGCGCCCGCCAGUAUUCUGGCGGGCAUGCCUGUUCGAGCGUCAUUUC